CCCGACCAGCACACGUCGUUCGUCGUGUGCGCCAAGCUUUACGUGCUGCAGGGCACAUUAGGAACGUUGAAAUGGCGCGUCGCUCCGUUGGCGUCAAAAUUGCUGGAGCGUUUGGAUGCAGCAAAUUUCUUGCAACAUCCUUAUCAGAAUGUUCGCGAGACUGUUGGCAGUUUCCUGAUGACGAUAUUUGACACGGAGCUGGUGUUCCGGGAGGUGAUAGGAGCAAAGCCCCGUGCCUCGCCGAGUUUAUCGAGAGUUUGCAGCCGCGUUUUGCGCCGCUAUAUGACGAGAAUGGAGACAUAGUGAUAAAGACAGCAGUGUCGGGAUCUUCGCCGGCAGCAGCAGUGGAGGCGGGCGGCGUGCGGACGGCGGAGGGGGCGCUAUGCCUCACUUCCUGCGCCGCGCCAGCGCCCGCGCCGCUACAGCCCUGCGCCGCGCACCCUGC